rnacentral:rRNA from 1 species
GAGUUUGAUCCUGGCUCAGGAUGAACGCUGGCGGCGUGCCUAAUACAUGCAAGUCGAGCGAACAGAUAAGGAGCUUGCUCCUUUGACGUUAGCGGCGGACGGGUGAGUAACACGUGGGUAACCUACCUAUAAGACUGGAAUAACUCCGGGAAACCGGGGCUAAUGCCGGAUAAUAUUUAGAACCGCAUGGUUCUAAAGUGAAAGAUGGUUUUGCUAUCACUUAUAGAUGGACCCGCGCCGUAUUAGCUAGUUGGUGGGGUAAUGGCUUACCAAGGCAACGAUACGUAGCCGACCUGAGAGGGUGAUCGGCCACACUGGAACUGAGACACGGUCCAGACUCCUACGGGAGGCAGCAGUAGGGAAUCUUCCGCAAUGGGCGAAAGCCUGACGGAGCAACGCCGCGUGAGUGAUGAAGGUCUUCGGAUCGUAAAACUCUGUUAUUAGGGAAGAACAAAUGUGUAAGUAACUGUGCACGUCUUGACGGUACCUAAUCA